GGUUCCUGUGACCUGCAUGGAAGAACUUUACGCCUGCCCCAGACCCGGUAAACGGAAAAAGACAGUUGCUUCCCAGCCCAGAAUCUCCAAGUCGGCCAGAGCCUGGACCUCUGAGGACUGCUGAGUAUGAACUUGACAGAUUUCCCUCACCUCCCACACCCCAGUGGGUGAAAUGGAUGAAGGUCAAAAAGGAAGUGACAUCACCCACAUGGCAACAUACGUCAUUCCUGCUUCACUUCCCCUCACAAGAACAAUUCAUGAACAAGGCACCACUGAGGAAAUCCUGGAACACAGGAGGAAGGCUGAAGCACACCCUCCGCCACAAAGACCAAGACAGACUGCAUUA